rnacentral:tRNA from 1 species
AAGAAAGACAUAGUGGUUAUGAGAUUGGCUUGAAACCAAUUAUAGGGGGUUCGAUUCCUCCCUUUCUUG